rnacentral:lncRNA from 1 species
GAGAGUUCACCGAGUUGAUAAAAUUAUUAAAACACAAAAUACACAUUUGCGUGAGGGGGAAAAAAUACCCGCUUGUCCGUCCUGUCCCUUCAGGCUGCGCAACGCUGGAGGGCGAUGGGAGCUCCACACAGGUGGGACGAGCCUAGCAGUGAUGCUGCCUGGAGUUAAAGGAGGCCAGGAGCACCAGAAGCUGGAGGAGGCCGGGGUGGAUUCUCGCCUGGAGGCUUCAGUGGGAGCACGAGCUCCCGACACUUCGGUUCCAUCUCUUGUUUAAAGGCACCCAGUUUCUCAUCAUUUGUUACAGCACCAUGGAAAACCCACACACAAGUGAAGCCCCGACCCACCUCCCAAGUGCCCAUCUGAGCACCCCUCGUGGACUCUGAGCAGGGGGUUGCCAUCACCAACUCCAAGUCUUGCAGCCCCUCUUCCCUUCAGUCUGGCUGCCACCUUCUUCAUUGCCCUGGAAAAAAAUAAUGAAGUUUCACCAUUUAAAGGGUUUCAGUGCAGCUUGCUAUGGGAACACUGGAGAGUAACACAAAUGGCCAAUUGUCCUAAUAGCCACCAUGGAUUGGAUGGAUGCUAACAACAGGCUCACAGUUCUCCUUCUGUUGCCUCCUUUUAUCCACAUGAGAAUCAAACAAGACUACUGAUUAAAUGAAGCCUUUGAUGAAGUGCAUGCAGUUUGUAGCUUGAUUCAUGGGAAUACUCAUCACAGACUGAAAGUGUAACCCAGGGUCUCUGGGUUUUUGGGAACGCGCUGUGUAAAAGUAUCUACUUGUAACUGUUACUCCCUGAGUUGUUGUUGUUUUAGAAAGUUCCAAGAAGAAGCUUAGCCUUGGAAAAAACAAAAACUGGUUGAAUCCAGAAGUGGAGAUGAAUUUUGGCCAACGCUCCUCACUGCCACACUAAAAACCCUGCUCAGAGAGGAGCUUAUUCACCAUGUUCUAUUCAUGCAAUGUGUGUGGAAACAUGAUCUACGACAGCAUGCGUGCUGCCUUCACCCUACCUCUACAUACAAUGACUCAUUUAACCUGCUGAAUAAAAGCCCUGUUUUCACCUUUGCUGGGGGAGGUGCCGCUUUGGGAACUAUUCGCAGUGUCCUCUUCACUUUUUGCAAGUAAUAGAAUACCCUUGUUAAAUCCU